UGUCUCUACAGCUACCAAUUGUGCCUCUUGAUUUUUAAAUUCCUGAUUCAUCUCCUUAUAUUCCUUUAUCUCACAACUCUCCAUUUCCCAGCCUAAUUCCUUCCAUGGCCCUAAAACCUUCCCACUUGCUCAGCCCCACCCCAUCAAUUAGUGUCGUCCAAUCAAUUCGUGGGAAAAAUAAAAUAUCGAUCAUUCCAAAAUACGCUCUUGCCUCUCUUCUUCUCCAAGCGCCUCUGAUUCUACACUCACGAGUAGCCACCGCUCCUCCACUUCCUCUUCCUUUUGUGAGAACUCUCAACUCUGCCCGACCGUUCUACCAACUAGUCUGCCCAACAGGUUUGCCGAUCAACGUUCGUAAUGUCCUUCAACAAUCUAGUAAUUCUGACUCCGAUGCUCAGUCCCGGUAGCAAUCUAUCGAAGUGGUGGCGGGCACAUAAGGCUGGGAGUAUACAAAUAAUAAGGGUAGAAGCAUCAAAUUUGGCCUUAUUGUGAGAAAAAGAUUAAGGAGGGCUUUAUUAACAGGGUAAGUUCUUCAAUCAUCUAUUAUUUUUGGAUUCCUUCAUGUUCUCUUUCUUUUGGCUCAUUUAGUGCAAUCGUCAAAUAAUUUCUUGAAUAUCUUUUCCUAAUAUAAAUCGGAGUUGUCUAUAUUCCAAUUUUCUUAUGUCCAUUCUCCUAACCAUUGAAUUUGAGACUCUGCAUUUUAGAAUGGUUGGCUAUGGAGAUUUCUUAAGUUUUCUUACUUCCGUGCUUCUGAUCCUGUACAUGAUGGAAUAUGCCAACACUACAAGCUAGGUUUUCAUUUCGGACGUAAUCGGAGGCCCAGAGACUAUAGAGUUCUCCCAAAACCAAGUGAUGCCUCUUGCGCUGUUUAUGUACUAAGCGUGAAAAAUGGAAUCACUCCUGAAAGUUUGAUAAAUGAUGGUAGAGUGACUACUAUUGCUCUUAUUUUGCCAAUUACAAAGUGAAGUGAUUGCCAAGUGAAAAUCCUUUGGUUACGCAAAUAGGUAAGUUCACUCUAUUUCAUGUACCAUUUUCUGCUAUUGUCAGAAAGCAUAUACUUUUAACAUCAAUUAUCAAUCUCUAAUGUUACAUCCAGAGGCUCAACACAUAUGGGAUCUUUCCAUUUCCAUAGCUUAAGGAAGAGGCUGAUAAGGAAGCAACCCUAUCGUUUCUUGCACUUCAGCAAAUAGUGUGAUUUGCCUUAUGUUAUUAUCUUACAUGCUCCGUGAUUUUUAUAAACCAGGAUUGUCUGAUUUUUCAGCCCCUUUUUUUCUCAAUUUGGAGGGACUAUUAUGAAACUAUAGUAACCUCUUCCCUUUAAUCUUUAUUAUUAUUAUUAGAAGUAGAAAUGAUUAACAAGUUGAUGGUGAUUGGAUUGUCGGAUGCCUUGGUGAUCACAAAUCUUUCUGUGACGUUGUCUUUCCAAUGUAAUUUACAAUUUUUUUUUCUCCCAAAAAUAGAUUGUACUUGCACUUAUACCGGAGGCUAGCUGCUCAUUCUAGAUCUUCCCAUUUACAAGGAAGAUCCCGAGUUCCAUCUGGCUUAGUAUCGAGGUGAUUCUCUUUCUAUUCCUACAUAUAUCAGUCCUCGCAUCAUUUCUACGGUAUCUUUAUAUUCAAUUAAUGGACCUUGGCCUAAAAAUAUUUCUUGCCUCUAUCAGAUCAUUAGUUCGAGAUGUCCUUGUUUCUGGUGUUUUAGUCGCCUUCCAGUGGGUCCCUUAAUGUUUUGCAAGAUAUUGCCCUCUUGAGUAAUGAAAAGCCUUGUAGGCCUCGAAAAUUCCCAUUAGAAGUGUAUGCACACACACAAAGUAUACCUAUGUAUAUAAUUAAAGCACAUUUUACGAGAAAGUGCGUGUAGCGAUGUGACUAACACUCUUGGUAGAUAACAUAGAGAUUUCAAGUUCGAUUCUCAUCAAUGAAAUAACCUGUACCAAUUUAUUUAGAUUUUAUUUUAUUUUUCUUGUACUAUGCCAAGAGGCUAUUGUAACCGAGAAAAGCACAUUUUACUAAUUUAGUAUUUUUUGUCAUUU